rnacentral:tRNA from 1 species
GGAGAGAUGCCAGAGUGGAUGAAUGGGACAGUCUCGAAAACUGUUGUGGGCUUCGGUUCACCGUGAGUUCGAAUCUCACUCUCUCCG